GACGAACGCUGGCGGCGUGCUUAACACAUGCAAGUGGUGCGACGAACCAGGCUUCGGCCUGGGGCAGAGCCGCGAACGGGUGAGUAACACGUGGGUAACCUGCCCCGAUGACCGGGACAACCCGGGGAAACCCGGGCUAAUACCGGAUGAGCUCUCCGCCCUUCGGGGCGGCGAGGAAAGGUAGCUUCGGCCUCCGCAUCGGGAUGGGCCCGCGGCCCAUUAGCUUGUUGGUGUGGUAACGGCUCACCAAGGCGACGAUGGGUAGCUGGUCUGAGAGGACGAUCAGCCACACUGGGACUGAGACACGGCCCAGACUCCUACGGGAGGCAGCAGUGGGGAAUCUUGCGCAAUGCGCGAAAGCGUGACGCAGCAACGCCGCGUGGGGGAAGAAGGCCUUCGGGUUGUAAACCCCUUUCAGUUGGGACGAAGCCUUCCCUGGUUAAGAGCUAGGGAGGUGACGGUACCUUCAGAAGAAGCCCCGGCUAACUACGUGCCAGCCGCCGCGGUAAAAC
rnacentral:rRNA from 1 species